GCCUUCGUGGCUGAGUUGGUUACAGCUUCCGACUUUUAAGCAAAAGCUUGAAUUUCAUCGGACGGUCGCGGGUUCGACCCCCGCCGAAGGCU